AUCUACAGCCGCUGGCAUAUACAAUUUCCCACCCAAGCAUGACCGUUUAAACGGCGAAAUGAACUUAAACAAAACUCACGACUGGAUGUAAACUGAUUUUGUGUUUUGAAUUCAUUCGAGACAGUCUUCAUAAGAUACAAUCAUAUUGACACAAACAACACAGAGGAAAAUGAAGCUGUAUACAUUCGUUCUCCUUGUGACACUUUCUUUUGUUUGUAUACCCGAAUCAAAUGCCAGUGAAGAAGCUACAUGCUUUAUAUCACUCGAAUGUGGAUACAUUAGACCCCCGUGUGUUGAGGAAUGUCGUCGAAGGGGCUGCAGUUCAGAAGGUGCAACUUGCAAUGCCAACAGAAGUUGUUGUUGUCUGAAUUGUGUCUAACCAAAAUUAAAAUCUGAAUAAAUUCUUCUUCAUUACAAUAA